rnacentral:rRNA from 1 species
UUGGAGGGCAAGUCUGGUGCCAGCAGCCGCGGUAAUUCCAGCUCCAAUAGCGUAUAUUAAAGUUGUUGCAGUUAAAAAGCUCGUAGUUGAAUUUCGGGAUCAAAUAAUCGGUCGUGCCUCCGGUACGUACUGGUUUUAUUGGUUCCUCCCUUCUGACGAACCAUGAUGUCAUUAAUUUGAUGUGGUGGAGAAUCAGGACUGUUACCUUGAAAAAAUUAGAGUGUUUAAAGCAGGCUAACGCUUGAAUACAUUAGCAUGGAAUAAUGAAAUAGGACGUUCGACCCUAUUUUGUUGGUUUCUAGGAUCGACGUAAUGAUUAAUAGGGAUAGUUGGGGGCAUUAGUAUUCAAUUGUCAGAGGUGAAAUCCUUGGAUUUAUUGAAGACUAACUACUGCGAAAGCAUUUGCCAAGGAUGUUUUCAUUAAUCAAGAACGAAAGUUAGGGGAUCGAAGACGAUCAGAUACCGUCGUAGUCUUAACCAUAAACUAUGCCGACUAGGGAUCGGAUGAUGUUAAUUUUUUAAUGACUCAUUCGGCGCCUUACGGGAAAC